GACGAACGCUGGCGGCGUGCUUAACACAUGCAAGUCGAACGGAAAGGCCCUGCUUUUGUGGGGUGCUUGAGUGGCGAACGGGUGAGUAACACGUGAGUAACCUGCCCUUGACUUUGGGAUAACUUCAGGAAACUGGGGCUAAUACCGGAUAGGAGCUCCUGCUGCAUGGUGGGGGUUGGAAAGUUUCGGCGGUUGGGGAGGGACUCGCGGCUUAUCAGCUUGUUGGUGGGGUAGUGGCUUACCAAGGCUUUGACGGGUAGCCGGCCUGAGAGGGUGACCGGCCACAUUGGGACUGAGAUACGGCCCAGACUCCUACGGGAGGCAGCAGUGGGGAAUAUUGCACAAUGGGCGGAAGCCUGAUGCAGCAACGCCGCGUGCGGGAUGACGGCCUUCGGGUUGUAAACCGCUUUCGCCUGUGACGAAGCGUGAGUGACGGUAAUGGGUAAAGAAGCACCGGCUAACUACGUG
rnacentral:rRNA from 1 species